GUGGUUUAAUUCGAUGCAACGCGAAGAACCUUACCUACUCUUGACAUCCAGAGAACUUUCCAGAGAUGGAUUGGUGCCUUCGGGAACUCUGAGACAGGUGCUGCAUGGCUGUCGUCAGCUCGUGUUGUGAAAUGUUGGGUUAAGUCCCGCAACGAGCGCAACCCUUAUCCUUUGUUGCCAGCGGUCCGGCCGGGAACUCAAAGGAGACUGCCAGUGAUAAACUGGAGGAAGGUGGGAUGACGUCAAGUCAUCAUGGCCCUUACGAGUAGGGCUACACACGUGCUACAAUGGCGCAUACAAAGAGAAGCGAACUCGCGAGAGCAAGCGGACCUCAUAAAGUGCGUCGUAGUCCGGAUUGGAGUCUGCAACUCGACUCCAUGAAGUCGGAAUCGCUAGUAAUCGUAGAUCAGAAUGCUACGGUGAAUACGUUCCCGGGCCUU
rnacentral:rRNA from 1 species